UACGGGGGGGGCAAGCGUUGUUCGGAAUUACUGGGCGUAAAGAGCUCGUAGGCGGCUUAGUAAGUCGGGUGUGAAACCUCCAGGCUCAACCUGGAGACGCCACCCGAUACUGCUGUGGCUAGAGUCCGGUAGGGGAGCGUGGAAUUCCCGGUGUAGCGGUGAAAUGCGCAGAUAUCGGGAAGAACACCCGUGGCGAAGGCGGCUCUCGUGGGACGGUACUGGACGCUGAGACGCGAAAGCGUGGGGAGCGAACGAGG
rnacentral:rRNA from 1 species